CCUACGGGUGGCAGCAGUGGGGAAUAUUGCACAAUGGCGGAAACCCUGAUCCAGCGACGCCGCGUGAGUGAAGAAGGUUUUCGUUUUGUAAACCUCUGUCAGUGGGGACGAAAAUGACGGUACCCACGGAGGAAGCCACGGCUAACUACGUGCCAGCAGCCGCGGUAAUACGUAGGUGGCAAGCGUUGUCCGGAUUUACUGGGUGUAAAGGGAGCGUAGGCGGGAUGUCAAGUCAGAAGUGAAAGUUAUGGGCUCAACUCAUGACCUGCUGUUGAAACUGUGAUGCUGGAGUGAAGGAGAGGCAAGCGGAAUUCCUAGUGUAGCGGUGAAAUGCGUAGAUAUUAGGAGGAACACCAGUGGCGAAGGCGGCUUGCUGGGCUUUUACUGACGCUGAGGCUCGAAAGCGUGGGGAGCAAACAGGAUUAGAUACCCCAGUAGUC
rnacentral:rRNA from 1 species